rnacentral:rRNA from 1 species
CGAGCGGCGAACGGGUGAGUAACACGUGAGCAACCUGCCCCUGACUCUGGGAUAAGCGGUGGAAACGCCGUCUAAUACCGGAUACGACCUUCCGCCUCAUGGUGGAGGGUGGAAAGUUUUUUCGGUCAGGGAUGGGCUCGCGGCCUAUCAGCUUGUUGGUGGGGUAACGGCCUACCAAGGCGAUUACGGGUAGCCGGCCUGAGAGGGCGACCGGCCACACUGGGACUGAGACACGGCCCAGACUCCUGCGGGAGGCAGCAGUGGGGAAUAUUGCGCAAUGGGCGAAAGCCUGACGCAGCGACGCCGCGUGGGGGAUGACGGCCUUCGGGUUGUAAACCUCUUUUACCACCAACGCAGGCUCCGGGUUCUCUCGGGGUUGACGGUAGGUGGGGAAUAAGGACCGGCUAACUACGUGCCAGCAGCCGCGGUAAUACGUAGGGUCCGAGCGUUGUCCGGAAUUAUUGGGCGUAAAGAGCUCGUAGGCGGCGUGUCGCGUCUGCUGUGAAAGACCGGGGCUUAACUCCGGUUCUGCAGUGGA